GACGAACGCUGGCGGCGUGCCUAAUACAUGCAAGUAGAACGCUGAAGGAGGAGCUUGCUUCUCUGGAUGAGUUGCGAACGGGUGAGUAACGCGUAGGUAACCUGCCUGGUAGCGGGGGAUAACUAUUGGAAACGAUAGCUAAUACCGCAUAAUAGUAGAUGUUGCAUGACAUUUGCUUAAAAGGUGCAAUUGCAUCACUACCAGAUGGACCUGCGUUGUAUUAGCUAGUUGGUGGGGUAACGGCUCACCAAGGCGACGAUACAUAGCCGACCUGAGAGGGGGAUGGGCCACACUGGGACUGAGACACGGCCCAGACUCCUACGGGAGGCAGCAGAAGGGAAUCUUCGGCAAUGGACGGAAGUCUGACCGAGAAACGCAGCGUGAGUGAGAAGGUUUUCGGAUCGUAAAGCUCUGUUGUAAGAGAAGAACGAGUGUGAGAGUGGAAAGUUCACACUGUGACGGUAUCUUACCAGAAAGGGACGGCUAACUACGUG
rnacentral:rRNA from 1 species